AUUGAACGCUGGCGGCAGGCCUAACACAUGCAAGUCGAGCGGAUGAAGGGAGCUUGCUCCUGGAUUCAGCGGCGGACGGGUGAGUAAUGCCUAGGAAUCUGCCUGGUAGUGGGGGAUAACGUCCGGAAACGGGCGCUAAUACCGCAUACGUCCUGAGGGAGAAAGUGGGGGAUCUUCGGACCUCACGCUAUCAGAUGAGCCUAGGUCGGAUUAGCUAGUUGGUGGGGUAAAGGCCUACCAAGGCGACGAUCCGUAACUGGUCUGAGUGGAUGAUCAGUCAAACUGGGACUGAGAAACGGUCCAGACUCCUACGGGAGGCAGCAGUGGGGAAUAUUGGACAAUGGGCGAAAGCCUGAUCCAGCCAUGCCGCGUGUGUGAAGAAGGUCUUCGGAUUGUAAAGCACUUUAAGUUGGGAGGAAGGGCAGUAAGUUAAUACCUUGCUGUUUUGACGUUACCAACAGAAUAAGCACCGGCUAACUUCGUGC
rnacentral:rRNA from 1 species